GCGCCAUCCAAAAAUCAGAGAGAAAUACCUUUGGGUCGUGGAGAUAUAAAAGAGGCAAGUUUGGGUGUCUAGAGAGAAAAACGUGAAGAAGAAGAGGGUCUUCUUCUUGGUUUUUUGUUUUCAUAUCUUUCCUCCCUCCAUCUUGAGUUUCCUGGGAGUGUCUCAGAUCUGAAACUCCUUCUUUUACUUUUCAUCUUUGGAAGAGUCCAAAUCAAGAAGAAGGAGGCACCUGAUCAACCAUCAAAGAAGGAUCAGCGCAGUACUAGCAUACUGUGCUGAUUUCCUGAAGC
rnacentral:lncRNA from 1 species